rnacentral:tRNA from 1 species
UGGGAUGUGACUCAGUGGUAGAGUGCUUGCCUAGCAUGCAUGAAGCCCUGGGUUCAAUUCCUAGGUACCAU